GACGAACCGUGCGAACGUUAUUCGGAAUCACUGGGCUUAAAGGGCGCGUAGGCGGGCGGCCGAGUCCGGGGUGAAAGCCCCCAGCUCAACUGGGGAAGUGCCUCGGAUACCGGCCGUCUCGAGGGGGAUAGGGGCGUGCGGAACUUCCGGUGGAGCGGUGAAAUGCGUAGAUAUCGGAAGGAACACCAGUGGCGAAGGCGGCUACCUGGACCGGUUCUGACGCUGAGGCGCGAAAGCGUGGGUAGCAAACAGG
rnacentral:rRNA from 1 species